CUUUGAAAUGAGCAUGUCCAUGUGGCUUAGGCUAUGUCUCAAUCAGCUCCUAGUUCAGUAGUCAGGGCAAUGACCAAGGAGUCAACCAUUUUAAGGCCUGUCUCAAUCACAAAAUCCUGCCGGUGCACUGGGACAUUCGCUCCCUAUAAAAAUCCCACAAUGCACACAAAAAACAGGGAGCAUCGAUGCUCACAAUGUUCCCUUACUGGAUAUGACAUGCUUUCUGAAUGGUGGACAGACUCUUAGCCAACUUCCAUUUACAAAUGGAGCUAGGGAGCUGAUUGAAACACACCCUUGAAUAAGCAGCUAACAGGAAAUUAAAAUGCCACACGAAGAAGAACUAAAAUUCGGGUGAGAGCGCCGUCCGGUGGCAUGGUGUACGUUCUCCCUGUGUCUGAGUGGAUUUCCUCCGGGUUCUUCGGUUUCC
ensembl:lncRNA